rnacentral:tRNA from 4 species
UGUCGCAAUAGCGGAACAGGGGCGCCGUCAUGCCCGCUUCAGCCAGGCGGCGGCACAGGGCCUCGCUCGCUUCCACGGCGAUGUCGACAA